rnacentral:lncRNA from 1 species
UUUCAUCUCUUGACAGAGAAAAAGCUGUGAAAAUGGGAGCCCCAAAGCAUAAGUGGACACUGAAAGAAGAAGAAGCUCUUGUGGCUGGAGUACUCAAACAUAGAAAUGGAAAAUGGCUUUACAUACUCGCACGACUCUGAGUACUACCUCUCUCCUGACCCCAACCCCAACCCCAACUUCCACACUUCCCAUACCCCUAGCAGCCACAUCCACACCUCGUUUUUUUUGCUGAUAACCACAUCCACAAACCCCCUGUGCACAAAUCCCAAACAACCACAUCCAUAGACGCUCUGUCCGCAAUACCCGAACAAGACGCACAUAGUGAUCUCAGCUGUCUUGAUCAAGUUACUUUUUAGGUGCUGAUUAACAAUCUCUUUUACCUCAUGCUCAAUUUUGUAAUGUAUGUACUAAAACUUUCUUUUGUAGCCUCAACCGGCUUUUGUUAGGCGCAACCAAUUCUUAGACGCUAGUGUACAAUUUUUUACUUGUCUUUUGUAAUCAGCCUAAUUAUGUGUUCAAAUCCACUCACAAGACACUUUGUUCAUCAUUUGUCAUGUUAAUUAUUAAAAUAUAUUAAAAUAGAUGUUAAAAUGUAGAAACAAAAAAAUUACAAUUGAUUAUAGCAAUCAUAUUUAUUUAUGUAUUUUUUAAUUUAAAAUACAAAUAAAUAAAGAUAGAGAGAUCAAUGAAUAAUAACAAUAAAACAAAUAGAAAAAGAUAAUUAAAUUAAUACAUCCUCUAUCAUCCUCCGCAAGAGUCUCUUUUGUUCAAAAACAAAGAAGCUAUAACCAUCCUUACAUAAAAAAAAUAGUAUAAAAUCAUGUGGUUAAUAAUCAAUCUCACUAACCUAUAAACCAAACAAUAUUUAAUGUCUAAACUAUACUAACAAAAGAGGCUACUUACCUGUUUCGAUUUCCCAACCAAAAUCCAACUAGUUUACUAAAUGACCAAGGGUAUAAUGGUCUGAAAUCAGCAUCGAAACCAGCAUUUAUGUGCUUCAAGCAAUAAAUGUUUUAUUGUGUAAAGAAAAAGAGAAAAGUAUCCAAUUAUGUAACUCACUCAUAAAUAGCAUGGUAAUUAUCUCAAAAACAAGGACAAAAUCUUAUAAGAGAUUAUGCUUUAAUAAUAUAGAUUGUCUUAUACUUCAGUUUUAAUAAAAUAGAUUUAGUAAAAACAAACCAAACGAUUUGCUAGAUACAAUAUAUGGAAAACACAACCUCUUUUGUUUCUAUCCAGGUUAAUUCUUUAACUAUUAACCUGGACUACAAUCCUUGGAAUUUAAAGCAAUCUCGGUCAAUAGAAACAUAGACAAUACAAUUAUACAAAAUAUGAUAACCGAAUUUGCCUAAUCGUUAGGAAUAGUAACUAUAUUUUAAUUUUGCAAAACUCGGUGAGAUAAGAUUCCGAGUAUGGCAAAAGGUUUUCGAAAAAUCUAAACACCUUAACGUGUUUGAUCAAAUGUUAAGAACUAUUUAUUAUUUUAAAAUGAAUGAAAUCCAGCGCUAGUUGUAUGUUUAUUAAAGUUGGGUUUCGCACGACGAUGGAUAUCUCGGAUAAUGUAUUGCAUCUCUUCGGUACAUUACAAAGUUUUAAUUAAUGGUCAGCCAAAAAGACAUAUUAUACCAAAUAGAGGAUUUCGACAGGGUUAUCCUUUGCCGCUUUAUUUAUUUAUUUUGUGCACUGAAGCACUAAUAGAAAAUAUUCGGAAAAAAGAAGAAUAAAAGUUACUAACUGGGCUAAAAAUUGUGCGCGGCAGUCCGGCAAUUUCACAUUUAUUAUUUGCUGAUGAUAGUUUCUUUUUCUGCAAAGCCAAUAGGCAAGAAUGUGAGGUCAUUGUAAAGAUUUUGAAAGAUUAUGAAAGAGCGUCUGGACAGCAGAUCAAUUUUUUGAAAUCGUCCCUACAGUUUGGACAUAAGGUACCAGAUUCAGUACGAUUAGAGGUACAACAGGUAUUGGGUAUUACUACAAUAGGUGGCAUGGGAACAUACUUGGUAAUCCCAGAAAGUCUUGGUGGUUCUAAAACACAAUGUUUGGGUUUUCUCAAUGAAAAGGUUAAUAAUAAGGUCAAUAAUUGGACUCUCCGAUUUCUCACGAAGGGCGGGAAGGAAGUCUUAAUAAAAGCAGUAGAAUCCCCCAUGCCAACUCAUGUUAUGUCUUGCUUCCGUUUACCAAAAACGGUUACUAAGAAACUUACGAGCACAAUUGCUCACUUUUGGUGGAGUGGCAGCGGCAAUACAAAAGGCAUGCAUUGGUUUUCAUGGGACAAAUUGUGUAAGGAUAAAGCAGAAGGGGGCAUUGGUUUUAGAGAUAUUCAGAAUUUUAAUACGGCUUUAUUAGCAAAACAGUUGUGGAGAUUAAUCGACAAACCAAAUUCUUUGUUUGCAAGGGUUUUUAAAGGUAGAUAAUAUUACCGAAACUCAGAUCCUUUGGAUCUUAUCAGAUCAUAUUCUCCCUCAUAUUGGUGGAGGAGUAUCACAUCAGCUAGAUCUAAUAAAAGGCUAAUCAAAAGAGUGGAAACAGUUUCAACCAUUUCAGUCUGGAAUGAUCCUUUGAUCCCCGCUCCUCGCCUGAAGUCAGCAAUCCCAAAAUUCUCAAAUCAAUUCUUGAAUCCAUUACUUAAGGUCGAGGAUUUAAUUAAUCCAGUUGAUCUUUUUUGGAACCUGGAAUUACUCAACGCAUAUGUCCAUCAGGACGAUGUGAGUACUAUACGGAUUUUAGCCAUUAAUCGUCACCCUAAGCCAGAUUCAUAUGGCUGGCAUUUUACGGAUCAUGGUAGAUACACGGUAAAAUCAGGCUAUCGGACAGAGAAAUUAUAUCCUGAUAAGGGUACUCAGUAUAGGGAUAUGGGACCGGAUACAAAACCAUUAUUGGCGCACUCUUGGAAGUUACAAUGCUCACCAAAAUUGAAACAUUUUGUUUGGCAAAUAAUUUCUGGUUGAGGAUUUUGCAUUACCCAUGUUAUAUAAUUCAUAUUAAUGAAAUUACACCGAAGAAAUCAUCAAAACGGGCUCAAAACGUACAUAAAAUAUACCCUAAAACCAAUAAAUACAGUUUACAAAAUCCUUUUAAAUCUCUUAAAAUUUGCAUUCAACCUUUCUUUUGUUACACUAGCCGAUAUAUACACUUAUUUUUAUAAGUAUUCCAGCAAAAAUUUAAUCAAAAACGGACAUAAAUUAAACCCGAAAUUCAUAUACACAGUUUUUAAAUUCAUUUUUUCUCUUUCAAAUUUUCAUCAAUUCUUACUUUUUUAGGUUACCCAUGGUUUACACAAACAUUUAAAAGAUAUUUCACACAAAAUUUCAUGAAAAACGGACAAGAAUUACCUGAUGUUAAAGCUUCAAAAUCGCCAAUGAAGGAUGAGGAAGAAGAGCUCUUCACGCUUACAGAGGAGAGAGGAGAGGAAACAUGAAGACAUGUGGGCCAAGGUAAAUCUGAUUGGUUAAGGUUGUUUGUGGACCCCAUUUGGUUGUUGUGUUUGGUUGAGUGUAUUUAAUUGAAAAAUUAAAUGAAUUAAUGAGGUGGAGAAGAAAUAUAUUAAAGAAAGAAAGGUUAGUAUAGGGAAUUCAAAGACAAAAGGCUAAUGGGAAAAGAGAAGGGACAAGAAGAAUGAAUUUUUUUCAAUAAGGGCAUUUGGAGUUAAACUCCCCCCCUCGACCAAACCAGACUAAUAGUAAACUAAAAGAAACCAAUCAUAACACGCGUUUAAAAUCCAAAAGCGAAGGUGAAAACCCUAAUUUUCCUAGAAUCCAAAUCUAAAUUUCUCUCACUCAUUGCGUCCGAUAACUAAAAUCUCAAACAAAACACCCUUGUCACUCGCGUUUCUAUCAAGCCAUGGUGGAACCUCUAGCUUAGUCGAUUUUUCAUUCCUCAUUCGAGUACCAACACUGAUCUUCCUCCUUUUUCAUGUUCCAGCUCCUCUUCCUCGGCCUCCAACUUUUUGCUCAGAGGCUGCUCCGCCAGGAGGGCCUCUCCAAGACGUCCCUUCGCGUCGCCGUGGUCAAGCUCCUCCUCGAUGGCCGGUGAGACAGCCAUGGAUUCCGAGCUCAAGAUCUUCGUGGAUGGUCGGCAGUGUUCGUUCUCUUCUACGGAAAGCAGAGUCAAGUGUGGUCUCAUCCAGAGAGAACGUGGCAAGCUUUCCCCGUCUGAUCUCUAAGCAUCUCUACUCUUGAACAACUCAAGAACUCUGCAUCUGACAGUAACAUAUCUCCCUUUCUUAUCUGAGUUUUUAUUUUGAAAUUUGAUUUAUUUUGAGAUUCAUACUUAGUUUAUGUAAUUUUCAUCAUCUGGCUAUUCAAAGUUUGAAUCUUUUGUGGAUCAGAUUUAAUUUUCAAUGAUAUUUCAUAUUUGGAUUUAGAUAUGUAAACGGCAACCUAUUGGUUUUAUAUUUUGAGCAAAUGUAAUUUUUUUUUUGUAAGUGUGUUUGCAUGUUUGGUGUGUGUGUUUUCUGUUGAUUAUCUAAGUCAUUAAUAAAAUUGAAGAAGUUGAAUUCUCUUAACCGUCUCUUCUACAUCUUAAUUUCAUGUUUCUAAAGUAUUCAUUUUGUGAUGGUUUCAUCUCUUGACAGAGAAAAAGCUGUGAAAAUGGGAGCCCCAAAGCAUAAGUGGACACUGAAAGAAGAAGAAGCUCUUGUGGCUGGAGUACUCAAACAUAGAAAUGGAAAAUGGCUUUACAUACUCGCACGACUCUGAGUACUACCUCUCUCCUGACCCCAACCCCAACCCCAACUUCCACACUUCCCAUACCCCUAGCAGCCACAUCCACACCUCGUUUUUUUUGCUGAUAACCACAUCCACAAACCCCCUGUGCACAAAUCCCAAACAACCACAUCCAUAGACGCUCUGUCCGCAAUACCCGAACAAGACGCACAUAGUGAUCUCAGCUGUCUUGAUCAAGUUACUUUUUAGG